GGGUGCUCGAGUGGCGAACGGGUGAGUAACACGUGGGUGAUCUGCCCUGCACUUCGGGAUAAGCUUGGGAAACUGGGUCUAAUACCGGAUAGGACCAUGGGAUGCAUGUCUUGUGGUGGAAAGCUUUUUGCGGUGUGGGAUGGGCCCGCGGCCUAUCAGCUUGUUGGUGGGGUGAUGGCCUACCAAGGCGACGACGGGUAGCCGGCCUGAGAGGGUGUCCGGCCACACUGGGACUGAGAUACGGCCCAGACUCCUACGGGAGGCAGCAGUGGGGAAUAUUGCACAAUGGGCGCAAGCCUGAUGCAGCGACGCCGCGUGGGGGAUGACGGCCUUCGGGUUGUAAACCUCUUUCACCAUCGACGAAGCUGCCGGUUUUCCGGUGGUGACGGUAGGUGGAGAAGAAGCACCGGCCAACUACGUGCCAGCAGCCGCGGUAAUACGUAGGGUGCGAGCGUUGUCCGGAAUUACUGGGCGUAAAGAGCUCGUAGGUGGUUUGUCGCGUUGUUCGUGAAAUUCCCUGGCUUAACUGGGGGCGUGCGGGCGAUACGGGCAGACUGGAGUACUGCAGGGGAGACUGGAAUUCCUGGUGUAGCGGUGGAAUGCGCAGAUAUCAGGAGGAACACCGGUGGCGAAGGCGGGUCUCUGGGCAGUAACUGACGCUGAGGAGCGAAAGCGUGGGGAGCGAACAGGAUUAGAUACCCUGGUAGUCCACGCCGUAAACGGUGGGUACUAGGUGUGGGUUUCCUUCCUUGGGAUCCGUGCCGUAGCUAACGCAUUAAGUACCCCGCCUGGGGAGUACGGCCGCAAGGCUAAAACUCAAAGGAAUUGACGGGGGCCCGCACAAGCGGCGGAGCAUGUGGAUUAAUUCGAUGCAACGCGAAGAACCU
rnacentral:rRNA from 1 species